UUUAAUGAGAGUUUGAUCCUGGCGCAGGACGAACGCUGGCGGCGUGCCUAAUACAUGCAAGUAGAACGCUGAGGUUUGGUGUUUACACUAGACUGAUGAGUUGCGAACGGGUGAGUAACGCGUAGGUAACCUGCCUCAUAGCGGGGGAUAACUAUUGGAAACGAUAGCUAAUACCGCAUAAGAGUAAUUAACACAUGUUAGUUAUUUAAAAGGAGCAAUUGCUUCACUGUGAGAUGGACCUGCGUUGUAUUAGCUAGUUGGUGAGGUA
rnacentral:rRNA from 1 species